UGCAUAUCAAAAAGCGGAGGAAAAGAAACCAACAGGGAUUGCCUCAGUAACGGCGAGUGAAGCGGCAAGAGCUCAACUUUGGAAUCGCUGCGGCGAGUUGUAGUCUGGAGGUGGCCGGUCCCGGCGCCAGCGCGCAGCCAAGUCCUUUGGAACAAGGCGCCUGAGAGGGUGACAGCCCCGUGGCAGUUUGUGCUGGUGCCGCCUCGGCCCACCGACGAGUCGAGUUGUUUGGGAAUGCAGCUCUAAGUGGGUGGUAAAUUCCAUCUAAAGCUAAAUACCGGCGAGAGACCGAUAGCGAACAAGUACAGUAAUGGAAAGAUGAAAAGCACUUUGAAAAGAGAGUGAAACAGUACGUGAAAUUGUUGAAAGGGAAGGGCUUGCACCCAGACACGGCCUUCUGGCCGGGCCAGCAUCGGGUGGGAGGGAGCGACAACGAGCAGUCGAUGUAGUACAGCCCUCUGGGCUGUGCAUUAUACGUCUUGCUUUCUGGCUCCUCUCCCGCCCGAGGACCGCAGCAAUAAGGAUGCUGGCGCAAUGGUUGCAAGCCACCCGUCUUGAAACACGG
rnacentral:rRNA from 2 species